GCCAACAUAUAAUUAUUUAUUUUUGUUUAAAUUUUGGUUUAAGUUUUUAGCAGUUUGGUUUUCUUGGAGAUGCGAGGGCUUAUUCAAGUGUUUCCAGACCUUGUGCAGAAAUUAUGGAAUUAUUGGGAGCUACGAGUGUUGGUUCUUGUGAGUCUCACCUUGCAACUGUCUCUUCUUCUCUUGGGCAGUUGGAGAAGAUAUAGUGUUAAAACUUGGAUAAGGAUCAUUAUCUGGUUUUCAUAUCUAGCUGCCGAUUCAGUGGCAACUAUUGCGCUAGGUGUCAUUUCCAAUAAUCAAGGAAAUUCUUGCGAUGGCAAUGAUUGCCAAUUACAAAAUGAGCUCAAAACAUUCUGGGCACCAUUUCUAUUGUUGCAUCUUGGUGGACAAGACACAGUUACAGCUUAUGCAGUACAAGAUAAUGAAUUAUGGUUAAGGCACUUGCUUGGACUAAUUGUUCAAUUAGGAGUGGCACUCUACGCCUUUUACUUGUCUUGGAAGGGGAAUUGGUUGUCAUUUCUUACUAUUCCAAUGCUUCUUGCUGGGUUUAUUAAGUAUGCCGAAAGGAUAUGGGUGAUGCAAUUAGCAAAUAACGCUCCAUUGCCUGAACGUAAGCUCUAUGUUCCAAGCCCAGAGCAACGUAGAUUACUUGCGGAAUUAGCAGAUGUAUACCUCUCAAAUCGUGAGAAUUAUCUACAACGUUAUGGAGAGAAUAUAGUUUGUCUUGAUGUGGACGAUAUUAGACCCAUACGAGCAGAAGCAGUUCGGCUGUUUGAAGUUUUUAGACGUCUUUUUCUAAAUCAGAGGGUCCCCUUUCUUCAUCGGUUUUCGGUUGAUGCUGUCUUAGCUUCUCUUGAUUCUCAAAACACUUGGAAGGUGAUUGAGGUUGAACUCGGAUAUGCCUAUGAUGUUUUCUACACAAAGGCUCCUUUGUUUUUUACAGCUUGGGGUUUCAUCUUCCGUUUCUUCUCUUUUACUUCCAUCCUUUUUGUGUCUGUGCUUUUCCUUUUAAAAGAAAGGUACAAGCACUUGUCACAGACAGAUUUGAUUAUUACUUACGUAUUGAUGGUUGGAGCUAUUCUUAUAGAGCUAUAUGCUGUCAUUUUACUGAGUGCCUCUGAUUGGCCUUGGCCACAUUUUAAAGGGUUAAGGAAGCUUCUUGAGAAACUCUUUGCUCCGAUAAUAAACCGUUAUGAUAAACUGAUGACUAACAAACAAAGGUGGUCUAAUUCAAUGGCUCAACUAAAUCUACUUAGCUUUUGCCUCAAAGAUUGUAAGCCUGAGGUUGACGAUGGAACCCCAAAACAUUUUGCUAGGUUGAGAGAGUGGGUCUUCAAUCAUAUUCUGCCAAAACUAAAUAGAGAACUACAGAUGCUCUUUUAUAGGACCCAUAAGCAAAUCUCUGUAGACUUGAAAGAUUUGGUGUACAACACUUUCAGGGAAAAAUUAAGUUCCAAUAGAGAAGGGUUUUCCGAAGAUUAUGACCAAUACAUAACAUAUAAUGGAUCUAUAAAUGUGGAAAUUUACCAAAGAAUUAUCAUCUGGCACAUUGCCACAGAUCUUUGCUUUUACACACACACUGGUGCAAACAAAUCUAUAAAUAAUUUUUGUCGAGAAGUGAGCAAGGAUAUAUCGGAUUAUAUGAUGUAUAUUCUUGUGAUGUGCCCUUUCGUUUUAUCAACAGGAAAUGCGAUACUUAGUUUUGAAAACACUUGUGAAUGGGUUAAGAAAUUUUUUCAAGAGAAAAAGCUCACCAAACUGCCUAAACUCGACGCUUGUGCAAUGUUGAUCUCAGAAUAUGAACCUUCAAGCGAUAAGGUAGACAAUUAUUUGUUGACAGAAGAUCUGUUAUCUUUAGCAGUUUUACUUGCAAACAAGCUAAAUCCAAUGGAUGGAAAGUGGGAGAUCUUGAGUAAGUUUUGGGUCGAGAACCUGGCUUAUGUUGCAACCCUUUGUCAAGGAAAUAAUCAUGCUCAGCAACUGAGAAAGGGUGGGGAGUUUUUUACCCACGUCUGGCUUUUGUUAGAGCAAUUGAACCUCACAGAAAGUUUUCAAAAGUCACGAACAAGACCCUAAGAGGAACAACACAUGGAUAGGGAUAGGGGACUCGAGAUUUAUGUUUUGUGGAGAUUUAUGUUUUGUGGAGUGAAGUUUUUUUUAUAUUUGGGAUCCAAUGGGUGAUGUCGAAGGCAAUAGCCUCCCUGCUUUUUGGUUGGUGGAAUUGGCUGAGGAAGCAUUCCUCUGAUAUUUGGAAUAUAGUUCCAACUUGUCUUAUGUGGCUAAUUUGGCGGAAACGUAAUAAUCGUACUUUUGAAGAUAUUGUGAGAUCUGUAGAUCUUUUGAAGCCUAUAUUAGUUGGGACUUUAUUUAUUUUUAUUUUUUAAAGAAAGAGUUGGGACUUUAUUUUAGUGGGGUAGAAUUUGGAGUUUUACACAAUGUAUUUCUAUUUCUGAUUUUCUCCUUUCUGUUUGUAUUUCUUCUUGAGUUACUUGUAUCUGUUUUAAGUUCAGAGUGUUCACGUUCUCUUUAUGUAAUAAAUCUUUGAUUACUUAUAAAAAAAAAAAAAAAAGGCUGGGGAGAUGGUUGAUCAUCUAUUGCUAUAUUGUGAGUGCGCUAGUGAGUUCUGGUCCCUUCUGUUUUGUUUAUUCGGGGUGCAGUGGGUUAUGCUGCACAGAGUCCUUUGGUGUUUGGCGACGUGCUGGAAGGGGAGAUAUGCUAGACAGUGCUGUCUGGAUUGCAGCACCUUUGUUCCCUAUGUGGAUUCUCCGGAGGGAGUGUAAUCCUACAGCAUUUGAAGGCUUCGAGAGGACUGCAACGAAGUUGAGUAUGAUUCUUUACGUGUUUUGUUUGAUAGGACGGCUGCUUUACCCAGCCAUUCUUAUUCUACUUUGUUAGAUUUGAUUGAUAGUUGUACCUUUUCUUGAUGCUGUUGCUCUCUAAGCACACUUUUGGUGUACUGGAAAUUGCUUUUUUCUUCUAAUAAAAUUUUGUCACUUAAAAAAAAUGAUUCUUCCAUUGUCAAACAGCAAAAAAGCACAAAUUACAUCCAAAGAAUGAUCCUCAUUAAGGGGAAUGAAAUGUUAACAGAAAUCCUAUAGAAUUAAAGACUCUCUAUAGCUCAGGGAUCUACUCCCUGUUGUCUGAAUAUUGAAGUCUAGAAAGGCUAGAAAUCAUUUCCAGCCAAAUAUGAAAACCAUGAGAUCAUUGAGGACCCAACCUUAAGCAUCUUACCUUAAUGGAGAAGCCUCAUUCAGUUUUAUAUUAUGCAUUGACAUCUGGUUGUUCAACUUGUUAGUAAACGUGUCUAAUUUUCAAUCCUUGUUUGCAUAUUGCUUCAAAGUAUAAUCACAAACCUAGCUUUCCUUUCUUCUUUUCAGAUUGAGCUGACAUUGUAGCCCUCUUGGUUGGCCUUAGAGAGAGUAAGUGGAUGGAGAUGACAUGCAUUGUAUUGAGGGUUAUAAGGUAGUCAUCUCGUGGGGGAGUAUUGAGUAAGGAUUUGCAGUAUUACACCUUGUGCAUUAUGUUUUGACAUUUUUGGUGGGGUUCCGAAGGAGAUUUCUCAGGGUUUUUUUCCUUUCCUUUUUCCUAAAAGGAGAAUCAUUUCUGUCUUCUCUGAAUUCUUAGUGCUGACUGUUACAAGUGAUCUGUAUAAUUUUCUACUACUAAGUAAUGAAAACCCGUGCCUUCUGUAAAUAAAAUCAUCAUAGUACUUCCUAUGAUGUCUUGAAUGCAUUUCUUAUUAGCAUGUUACUUGUUUAUUGUCUCAGAUUUCCUUACCUCAUGAAGACACUAUAAUUUUUGUUGUUUCUACCAUAGGCCAGGGAGAUACACCAGAUUCCAUGAAGGUCUUUUGGAAGUUUCUUCUGCAAAGAAAUUUAAGCAAGCAUUGGCUGGAAGGUGUUCGCUAUGCUGUGUUUGGUUUGGGUGAUUCUGGUUGUCAGAAAUAUAAUUUUGUUUCUAAGAAGCUUGACAAAAGACUUUCAGACCUUGGGGCAAUGGCUAUUGUUGAAAAAGGUUUGGGAGAUGACCAGCAUCCCUCAGGGUAUGUUUAUGCCGGAAUAUCCUAAUGAACAUAAUUUUGCUUGAACUUACAGAAUGAUAAUAACCCUCAUUGAAUUCUUACUGGAUGAUAGUCGGCAACCAACCCCUAUCAUGGAAUUCUUCUUUCUUUCUUUUUUUGGUUUAGAUGUAGCAAAAUUAAUUGAGACCAGCUAAAGGUUGCUUAUGAGGUAUAACCAAUAUAUGAUGUGAUCAUUGGACAUGUCCACUCCUGUGGACAACA